UCUAUGUCACAGGAAACACGAAGUUAAACUGAAGGAAAAAUGGUGAUUCCAAUAGAAUCUUCACUAUUAUUAUUAUUAUUAUUAUUAUUAUUAUUAAACUUUAUUUCAGACUCAAGGUCCACUACUGGACAACCCAGUAGCAAUCGCGGUAGGGACAUGUCCUUUAAAUAUUGUAAGAACGGCUCUUUAUCCAACCCCAGAUAAUACUUGCAUUUGUGCUGAAGAGUUCUUAAACUGUUUGCACAGAAUAAAAAAACCAAUUUAAGUGUUAACUAUGUUGUAUUAAAUGCAGAUUGCCACUGUAAAGAGAACUGAAAUACAAUUUACAGAAAUGUGUUAUACAUGCAUAAAAUAGAUUAUGGAUGAUUCAGUUGAAUGGUGCAUGAGAUGAUGCGCCUGAUCCUACACAAUGCAUAGGCCGUAUUUUAUUUAGAAUUUAUACAACGUCAGAGAUCACUUCAUGAUGUGCAAAUGUACACUGCCCUGAAAUGAAUUGUAGAUUUGUUAAUGAAUUUUGGAUCACCACACCAAACACUGCCACACAAGUAACCAUCGUGUAAUUUCAACGUAUAUUGUAUCAUGACAUUUCUCAUAAACCAAAAAGUAUAUUUUUUCUGCUAGUCCUACAACAAAUUCACACUCCCUCGCAUUCCGUAUCUCUUGUUCAAUAGAAUAUUGCGUGUUUCAUUCUGUUGUUCCCAAGUUUCGACCUCUUGUAUAUCACCUUGUGGAAAUAUUUUCUAACUUUGCCUAUAUUAAUAUUGUUACGACCAAAAUAUCAUAAUGUGAUUAUCUGGAUAACAAUCGUUCUAAAUAUGUCAGCCCAGCUUUUCACAAGUGAUUUGGCUGUUCAUGUGCCGUGAUAAUGAGACGGCUAUCCCAAAAAUAAUGGGUAAUGCAUGAGAAGUUAAUUUAUGUUAUGCCACAAGCAACAUCUUUUGGUCUUAAAACAAGCAGAACUCCACAGAACUACAAAAGAUAUAACGUUUAAUAUAAGCAACUUCUGAAUUGUGUUUUAAUUGGGUGCAUAAUAUAGUCUCUGUAAAUAAAUAUACAACCAAUAAGUGGCUUGUAGAUUAUAAUUCUGCUAAGAUAAAUAAAUGAUUUUUGCAUUGUGCUGGAUUGUUUUAAAGUGCAAAUAAACUACUCAAAAUAUA